AAAACAUUUGGUUAUAGACUUGCUUUGUAAGUGAUUGCCACUUGACAGUGUGAUGGACUAUUCCAAUUAAUAUCUGUACACCCCCUAGCUGCCAAAGGUAUAUGUUUUUCAUGGUUAUAGGCCUGAAGAAUUUCAAAAUUCCAAGCUCAAAACCCUUUACCCCUGGAGAAUUCCAAGCUCAAAACCCUUUACCCUGGAAGAAUUCCAAACUCGAAAUACUUUACCCCUGAAGAAUCCCAAGCUCAAAACACUUUACCCUUGAAGAAUUCCAAGCUCAAAACCCUUUACCCCUGAAGAAUUCCAGGGAUCCUCAACAGGGCCCCCUGUCAAGGUAUAUUAAAUGGAAUACGGAUAUUAAAUGAAUAGCCUGAUGUAAGGCUAUAUAACUAAACCAAACCAGAAACAAUUUUUGCAUCAAUUUGUGUCUGGAUAAAAAAUAAGUAGUGAA